GCCUUUAUAGUGUAAAUGGAAGCACGUCUGGUUAGCAAACGGGAGAUCUGGAGCUCGAGUUCCAGUGAAGGCA
rnacentral:tRNA from 1 species